ASCCUKGGGCGGSGUGCCUAAUACAUGCRAGUCGAGCGAAUGGAUUAAGAGCUUGCUCUUAUGAAGUUAGCGGCGGACGGGUGAGUAACACGUGGGUAACCUGCCCAUAAGACUGGGAUAACUCCGGGAAACCGGGGCUAAUACCGGAUAACAUUUUGAACCGCAUGGUUCGAAAUUGAAAGGCGGCUUCGGCUGUCACUUAUGGAUGGACCCGCGUCGCAUUAGCUAGUUGGUGAGGUAACGGCUCACCAAGGCAACGAUGCGUAGCCSACSUGAGAGGGUGAUCGGCCACACUGGGACUGASACACGGCCCAGACUCCUACGGGAGGCAGCAGUAGGGAAUCUUCCGCAAUGGACGAAAGUCUGACGGAGCAACGCCGCGUGAGUGAUGAAGGCUUUCGGGUCGUAAAACUCUGUUGUUAGGGAAGAACAAGUGCUAGUUGAAUAAGCUGGCACCUUGACGGUACCUAACCAGAAAGCCACKGCUAACUACGUGCCAGCAGCCGCGGUAAUACGUAGUGGCAAGCGUUAUCCGGAAUUAUUGGCGUAAAGCGCGCGCAGGUGGUUUCUUAAGUCUGAUGUGACAGCCACGGCUCAUCCGUGAAGGUCAGUUGGUAAGCUGUUAGACCUUGACUGCAUAUGUACGAAAGUUSGUUAAC
rnacentral:rRNA from 1 species